rnacentral:misc_RNA from 1 species
CCCAGUUUGCUUUUUUUCAUCCAAAUUCUACCUUGGGUUAUUGAAAAUCCAUUAAAUUUUGAAGUACAUGCCUUAGAUAGGUGGAUCGUUAAAUUAUUAUUAUUAUUAUGUUAAAAACGUUUUGCUUCAAUGUUAAAAUUUAUCUGCUUUUCACGACGAUUAUUAACUUAGGAGAAGGGUUAAACUGCACGUGUGGGCGGCCUGGCACAGCGAAUUCGAGGAUCGUCAAUGGCUUAGAAACAAGCAGGAAUGAAUUUCCAUGGAUCGUUGCUAUCAGCCUCGUCUCGGACUCGUUCGUGGCCACGGCGGCGCACUGCCUGGCCAACCUGCGCUCGCCCACACAGUGGGAGAUGUCCGAGGUGGUGCUGGGCAUGCACUACGCGCGCAGCAGCCCACCGGAGGUGCAGGUGCGCGGCAUCAAAAGGGCGGUGAUGAAGGUGCAGUACCGCAAUGAGAACAAGGACAGCGACAUCGCGCUGAUCGAGCUCGACCGGCCUGUCAACAUCUCCGCGGUCAUCUACCCCAUCUGCCUGCCGUACGAUCUCAAGUUUCCGGUGGCCGAUCCGUGGGUGGUGACGGCCGGCUGGGGCCGCACCUCCUACCGCGGCCGACAGUCGGAAGUCCUCAUGAAGAGCAAGUGGAUGGAGAUGAUCCGGCACGACCACUGCGCGGCCGCCACCAAGUACCGCGAGCGGCCCGGCCUGCUGACCGAGAGGAUGCUCUGCGGGGUGUCCGACCUUACCGACGCCUGCCUCGGCGACUCGGGCGGGCCUCUGAUGUUCUACCAUCCCAAGUACUACCGCUGGUUCCUGGUGGGAGUGACCAGCUUCGGCUGGGGAUGUAACGAGCCCAACGACCCGGGCGUGUACACCAGCCUCUACCACCCGGACAUCCUGGGCUGGCUGAGCUGCGCCAACACCGGACAAAUGUGUCAGAACUGAGCUGCGCCAACACCGGACAAAUGUGUCAGAACUGAGCUGCGCCAACACCGGACAAAUGUGUCAGAACUGAGCUGCGCCAACACCGGACAAAUGUGCCAGAACUGAGCCCUACCAACACCGGACAAAUGUGUCAGAACUGAGCUGCGCCAACACCGGACUAAUGUGUCUGAACUGAGCUGCGCCAACACCGGACAAAUGUGUCACAACUGAGCUGCGCCAACACCGGACAAAUGUGUCAGAACUGAGCCCUACCAACACCGGACAAAUGUGUCAAAACUGAGCUGCACCAACAUCGGUCAAAUGUGUCAGAACUGAGCUGCGCCAACACCGGACAAAUGUGUCAGAAUUGACAGUAACACCGGACAAAUGUAUCAUAAUUGAUAGUAACACCGGACAAAUGUGUCAGAAUUGACAGUAAUACCGGACAAGUGUGUCGGAAUUGACAGUAACAACACCGGAGAAAUGUGUCAGAAUUGACAGUAACACCGGACAAAUGUGUCAGAAUUGGCACAAACAGCAGACAAAUGUGUCAGGACUGAUAUAAACACCAGACCCGAGGUCAGGCCCGUCCAGUCAAAACUGGCCCGUGCUCCGACCCGCUCGGUCAAAACUGGUCUCCCGUUUCCAAGUCAAAGCGAUCAGCAAUAGGCGAUAAAAGUGCCGAAAUCACGAGUGUAUCUGCCCGCGACUCGGAUCAUGUUGGGCCAGUGCGUUGCUGGCGAUUAUUUGUCGUUUUAUGCCCCAUUAGCCACGGAGUUAGUUUGCGCCCUCAUCGUAUAGCUAGUAAGAGCGUAUGGUACGAAUUCCGCGAUAAUAUAUGUUUUUGGAAUAAUAGCUCAUACCUCGAACGAAACAAAUCCCCCAUAUUUUCGCGAGUUCCCAAUUUGUUCCAGACAUCAACUGAAACACCUCAUAUGCCUUCAUCUGCAUAAGACUGACAUCGAUUGACCAAAUUUUGUCGAGAGCUGUUCAAAUGUUGGUAAGCAAUGACGUUUGUUUGACGUGGGACGUCCUUUUCGUUCAUUUACUCCAGAUAAAGGAGUGAGAUACGCAUUGGAGGCGGAGUUUGUGUGUGCGCUUCGGCCAUGUCUUUCUUUGUAAUAGUAAAUUAGAGGCAUGAUCAGCGA